GAGGCUGUGGCGGGAGCUGGGGAGGCUGAGAUUCUGCUGGGCGCCUCCGCCCGGGCGCCUGCUGAGCCCUGGCACACAGGACCCAGGGCCGUGGCGCUCCGUGGGCGGGAAGGCCGGAAAGAACAGCACCUGAGAGCAUGGAUGGGCGCCUUGGGCUCGAUGUUGGAAAUGUGACCUUGAGAAUCUGCUGAGGCUCAUCCACAUGAGACUUAGAACCUGCAUUAUUAAACACACUUUGGGAGUCAAGGAAGGACACCUGGGACUUGUGUAGGCAGUGUCUGAAACCUGGGGAGAGGACAAACCGUCCUUGGGAAGCCUGUUAAGGGAAGAGGCUGAAGUCCACAUGGCAGAAUGACCGUUGUGUUUUUCUCCUCGAUGGAUCUUACCACUUGUCUAUCCCAAGAGAGUGGAAGAGGUGUGACCAACUCUCCUGCCAAUCCAGGUUCUGAAUUCCAGCCUGGCCCACCCAUUGUGUCUGAUGCCUCCUUCAGGAGUCUCCCUGCUUGAGUUGGAUGGAGCUGUCCUAAAGCUGGGAAUUCUAUGAUCUUGUUUAUUCCUGUCCUGGGAAGUUCUUCCCAAUGUCUAACCAAGAUCUGUAAUGCUGAAGCACCAGUUCUUUGACCCUUGGCUUGACAGAAUAAAUUUGAGAGGCUGAAGACAAGACUGAGGAAGAGGCCACAGGAGCUGUGGAAGUCACUCAAAUCCUCCCAGACCAAAAAGAAGAACCUACUUCACCCAGUUGGCCUGAGUUUCCUCUAAAAAGCCUUCCUGGAUUGCCUGAAAGAUGAGGCUAAAUUCUAGCAAGUUGACUGCCUCCUUCGAGAAGUGUUUGAGCAGGACAGAAGUGGGGAGGCCCCAGCCUCCAGCCUGGGCAGCCCAUUACACCUAGAGCCACCCGGGAUAAGACUUGGCCUCACCCUUGCUCUGGUCCUGUCCCAUCCUGGUUUCUCCUGUGUUGUCUGAGCUGAGAUUCCUCUAGAUGGAAGUUCCAUCUCCUGUUUAAUAAAGACUCUUGACUCCUGAACAACAGUACUAGUGGUAGUGGAUGUGCCAGGGUUUGGAGGGGAGGGACUGAAUGAGAGGAGGGCAAUCCUGAGCUCCCUCCAAGAGACCAACACUAGAAGCCACAUUGCAACAGAAGGGGGAGUGGUUGAUUAAGACAGAACUCCCACGGUGGGGGGCCAAGGUGAACAGCUUCCCAAGGCCCCUGGGAAGGCCACCCAUGAUCUGGUGAGUCCCAACUCAAAGCAAUGGGCUGAUGCUCCCAGCCGACACGGCUUCUCAAUACCAUCCCAAGAACCAAGAG